rnacentral:pre_miRNA from 1 species
AGGAGGAACAACCGCAGUGGCGGCGGCAGCUCUGCAGCCCUGGAGUCAGCCCCCGCAGUAACCCCGGAGCUCUCGGUCUGCAGGGCCUGGAGGCUCCGGGGCGGG